rnacentral:rRNA from 1 species
GACGAACGCUGGCGGCGUGCCUAAUACAUGCAAGUAGAACGCACAGUUUAUACCGUAGCUUGCUACACCAUAGACUGUGAGUUGCGAACGGGUGAGUAACGCGUAGGUAACCUGCCUGGUAGCGGGGGAUAACUAUUGGAAACGAUAGCUAAUACCGCAUAAUAUUGAUUAUUGCAUGAUAAUUGAUUGAAAGAUGCUAUUGCAUCACUACCAGAUGGACCUGCGUUGUAUUAGCUAGUAGGUGAGGUAACGGCUCACCUAGGCGACGAUACAUAGCCGACCUGAGAGGGUGAUCUGCCACACUGGGACUGAGACACGGCCCAGACUCCUACGGGAGGCAGCAGUAGGGAAUCUUCGGCAAUGGACGAAAGUCUGACCGAGCAACGCCGCGUGAGUGAAGAAGGUUGUCGGAUCGUAAAGCUCUGUUGUAAGAGAAGAACGGGUGUGAGAGUGGAAAGUUCACACUGUGACGGUAUCUUACCAGAAAGGGACGGCUAACUACGUG